rnacentral:rRNA from 1 species
UACGGGAGGCAGCAGUGGGGAAUAUUGGACAAUGGGCGCAAGCCUGAUCCAGCCAUGCCGCGUGUGUGAAGAAGGCCUUCGGGUUGUAAAGCACUUUUGUCCGGAAAGAAAAGCUUAGGGUUAAUAACCUUGAGUCAUGACGGUACCGGAAGAAUAAGCACCGGCUAACUUCGUGCCAGCAGCCGCGGUAAUACGAAGGGUGCAAGCGUUACUCGGAAUUACUGGGCGUAAAGCGUGCGUAGGUGGUUUGUUAAGUCUGAUGUGAAAGCCCUGGGCUCAACCUGGGAAUGGCAUUGGAAACUGGCUUACUAGAGUGCGGUAGAGGGGUGUGGAAUUCCCGGUGUAGCAGUGAAAUGCGUAGAUAUCGGGAGGAACAUCUGUGGCGAAGGCGACACCCUGGACCAGCACUGACACUGAGGCACGAAAGCGUGGGGAGCAAACAGGGAUUAGAUACC